rnacentral:rRNA from 1 species
GUGUAGAAUAGGUGGGAGGCUUUGAAGCUGGCGCGCUAGCGUCGGUGGAGCCUCCAGUGAAAUACCACCCUGAUUAUGUUUAGAUCCUAACCCCAUUCCGUAAUCCGGAUGGGGGACCGUGCCAGGUGGGCAGUUUGACUGGGGCGGUCGCCUCCUAAAAGGUAACGGAGGCGCCCAAAAGGUUCCCUCAGGUGGAAUGGAAACCCACCAUAGAGUGUAAAGGCAUAAGGGAGCUUGACUGUAAGGCCAACGCGCCGAACAGAGACGAAAGUCGGGCUUAGUGAUCCCACAAUACCGAGUGGAAGGGUUGUGGCUUACCGGAUAAAAGCUACCCCGGGGAUAACAGGCUGGUGAGAUCCAAGAGUUCACAUCGACGAUCUCGCUCGGCACCUCGAUGUCGGCUCAUCGCAUCCUGGGGCUGGACAAGGUCCCAAGGGUCGGGCUGUUCGCCCGUUAAAGCGGUACGCGAGCUGGG